CCAGAAAAGUUGACUUUGAAUUAUUGCUUCUCUACUGCUAUGGACUGAAUUUUGUAACCCCAGAAUUCUAACCCCUGAUGUAACUACAUUUGGACAUUUAGCCUUUAGAAGACAGGCAUGGAGAAAAGAUCAUGUGAGAACAUAGCGAGAAGGUGCCCAUCUGCAGGAAGAGAGCCCUCACCAGAAACUGAUUCUGCCAAACCUUGAUCUGGAAUUUCCAACCUCCAGAACUAUGAAACAUAAAAUUCUAUUGUUUAAGCCACCCAAUCUAUGCUAUAUUAUUAUGGCAGCCCCAGCAGAUUAAUACAACUACCUAUUAAUUGCAAGAUCCAGGGCAGUUAUUUAAACUUUCUUAAUCUUUAUUUUCUCAUCUGAAAAAUAAGGGAAAAAAGAUACUAGUUCUUUCUCAUGCCACUGUUGUAUAGAUUAAAUGAAAUAAUUUACAUGAAAUCCUAAACAUAAUAUCUGAUACAGUGCAUAACAUAAAUUUAAUGUAAUUAUCAUAUUUCAUUAAGCUAUGCUGCUCAAAAACUGAAGAGUCAUGAGAAGAAAUAAAACCAUAACACCAAUAAAAUUCAUAAUAAAAUUUAUGCUAUAACCAGAAAUACUCUUACUAUGGAGUUUCAAGGCAAUUCCACAUUAAAAUACUCUGAAAA